AGUCAUCUUUGCAGGUGGUCAGGACAGGCAGCAAUAGUGUGAGCUUUUCCCACACCACCCCGUCCUUGUGCCUCAACCCUGAACUGGAGGGGCCACCUCUACAGGCU
ensembl:misc_RNA